GGCUUAUAAAUGCUCUGGUUGCAACCCGGAGAAAGAAAGUUAUACUUUCUAAAGCCU
rnacentral:tRNA from 1 species